rnacentral:rRNA from 1 species
AGCCAGACUCCUACGGGAGGCAGCAGUGGGGAAUAUUGCACAAUGGGGGGAACCCUGAUGCAGCGACGCCGCGUGGGUGAAGGAGCACCUCGGUGCGUAAAGCCCUAUCGGCAGGGAAGAAACAGACGGUACCUGACUAAGAAGCCCCGGCUAACUACGUGCCAGCAGCCGCGGUAAUACGUAGGGGGCAAGCGUUAUCCGGAUUCACUGGGUGUAAAGGGAGCGUAGACGGCGACGCAAGUCUGGAGUGAAAGCCCGGGGCCCAACCCCGGGACUGCUCUGGAAACUGCGUCGCUGGAGUACGGGAGGGGCAGGCGGAAUUCCUGGUGUAGCGGUGAAAUGCGUAGAUAUCAGGAGGAACACCGGCGGCGAAGGCGGCCCCCUGGACGAAGACUGACGCUCAGGUGCGAAAGCGUGGGGAGCAAACAGGAUUAGAUACCCUAGUA